GACGAACGCUGGCGGCGUGCCUAAUACAUGCAAGUCGAGCGAAGUUUUUCUGGUGCUUUCGCCUGCAAGACUUAGCGGCGAACGGGUGAGUAACACGUAAAGAACCUGCCUUAUAGACAUGGACAACUAUUGGAAACGAUAGCUAAUACCAGAUAACAGCAUUAACUGCAGGGGGGAGGUUUGAAAGGUGGGUUUGCUAACACUAUGAGAUUGCUUUGCUGUGCAUUGGCUAGUUGGUGGGGUAAAGGCCUUCCAAGUCGACGAUGCAUAGCCGAACUGAGAGGGUGAUCGGCGACACGGGGACUGAGCCACGGACCAUACUCCUACGGGAGGCAGCAGUAGGGAAUCUGACGCAAUAGGCGAGAGCCUGACGGAGCAACGCCGCGUGAGUGGAGAAGGAGUUCGGUUCGUAAAGCUCUGUUGUUAGGGAAGAACGAUUGUGUAGUAACUAUACACAGUAGAGACGGUACCUAACAAGAAAGCCACGGCUAACUACGUG
rnacentral:rRNA from 1 species